AACGAACGCUGGCGGCGCGCCUCAUACAUGCAAGUCGAGCGAGAAAUCCCGGGCUUGCUCGGGAGAGUAAAGCGGCGAACGGGUGCGUAACACGUGGGCAACCUACCCUUCGGUUGGGGAUAAUCCUCCGAAAGGGGGCGUAAUACCGAAUAAUAUCUUCCGGUGGCAUCCCCGGAAGAUCAAAGGCUUCGGUCGCCGAGGGAUGGGCCCGCGGUCCAUUAGCUUGUUGGUGAGGUAAUGGCUCACCAAGGCGUCGAUGGAUAGCCGACCUGAGAGGGUGAUCGGCCACACUGGGACUGAGAUACGGCCCAGACUCCUACGGGAGGCAGCAGUAGGGAAUAUUGCGCAAUGGGCGAAAGCCUGACGCAGCGACGCCGCGUGGAUGACGAAGCUUUUCGGAGUGUAAAAUCCUUUCAGUGGGGACGAAAUGGUCCUUUGGGCCUUGACGGUACCCACAGAAGAAGCACCGGCUAACUCCGUGCCAGCAGCCGCGGUAAUACGGAGGGUGCAAGCGUUGUUCGGAUUCACUGGGCGUAAAGGGUGCGUAGGCGGGUCGGCAGGUCGGAUGUGAAAACCCCACGGCUCAACCGGGGGCCUGCAUUCGAAACCGCCGAUCUUGAGUACGGGAGAGGAGAGUGGAAUUCCUGGUGUAGCGGUGAAAUGCGUAGAUAUCAGGAAGAACACCAGUGGCGAAGGCGGCUCUCUGGCCCGAUACUGACGCUCAGGCACGAAGGCUAGGGGAGCAAACAGGAUUAGAUACCCUGGUAGUCCUAGCGGUAAACGAUGGGCACUAGGUGUUGGGGGUAUUGACCCCCUCAGUGCCGCAGCUAACGCAUUAAGUGCCCCGCCUGGGGAGUACGGCCGCAAGGUUG
rnacentral:rRNA from 1 species